GUGGGGAAUUUUGGACAAUGGGCGCAAGCCUGAUCCAGCAAUGCCGCGUGCAGGAAGAAGGCCUUCGGGUUGUAAACUGCUUUUGUACGGAACGAAACGGCUCUGGUUAAUACCCGGGGCUAAUGACGGUACCGUAAGAAUAAGCACCGGCUAACUACGUGCCAGCAGCCGCGGUAAGACGUAGGGUGCAAGCGUUAAUCGGAAUUACUGGGCGUAAAGCGUGCGCAGGCGGUUUUGUAAGACAGGUGUGAAAUCCCCGGGCUCAACCUGGGAACUGCACUUGUGACUGCAAGGCUAGAGUGUGUCAGAGGGAGGUGGAAUUCCGCGUGUAGCAGUGAAAUGCGUAGAUAUGCGGAGGAACACCGAUGGCGAAGGCAGUCCCCUGGGCCUGUACUGACGCUCAUGCACGAAAGCGUGGGGAGCAAACAGGAUUAGAAACCCGAGUAGUCC
rnacentral:rRNA from 1 species